UUCCAGGGAUGGGAAUCGAACCCACAGUGUUCCGCUUACUGGGAAGAUGCCAUGUCCACUAAGCUACCCUGGA
rnacentral:tRNA from 1 species